CGGGGAUAGAUCUCUGACCAAAUUGGCCAAAAUAGCAAAGGCAAAAAACCCAUAACAAAGCUGCAAGCAAUGCCGGGGAAGGGCAGAGAAACCUUCGACACCAAGAAUCGCCAUGUUUCUAUAUAUGAUGGCAUAGGGAGCUUUAUACUCUCCAUCGGGGUUCCCCACAUCAAAAGCCGUGUAGAAGAGAAAGAAUGUAAGGGGAGCUAUGAUACAGCCUAUUGCAGUACCAAUGACCUGGCUAAGAAGCAUCGAACGAGGAGAAGUGAGAGUGAGAUGACCAGUCUUGAAAUCAUGCAUCAAAUUAGAAGAGAUGGAAACUAUGGAUUUAAUCAGGCCACAGCCCACAAGUCCUGCAACAACACCGUUAUUUCUUCCUGCCAUGGCCGCAAGUACGAAGAGGGCCACCUUUCCAUAGUUAUAUGCCAUAUUCAUGUCAGUUAGACCAGCACCAUAAGCAUUGCAGAAGCUAAGAGAGGGUGCAAGAAUGUAGGCAACAACUACAUAAUACCAUUUUAGCUCAGGAAACAUGAGAGGGAUCACAAUGAUGGAAAUGAUGGAGAAGGCGGUGUAUCCUAACCCUGCUACCCACAUUGGAAUAGUCUCUCUCACGAAAGCUUCAUUUCUCCAAAGAUCAUCAGGAGCUUGAUUUGGCUUAUAUGUUUUGGAAUUGUCAGUCUUUGCUCCGGCACGGAUGCUACUGGCAGUGAAAUAAAGUAUCUUUACAAAAUUAUAGAGCCCAUCUCCCAGGAU
rnacentral:misc_RNA from 1 species